CACGUAGGGGGCAAGCGUUGUCCGGAUUUAUUGGGCGUAAAGAGCUCGUAGGCGGCUCGGUAAGUCGGGUGUGAAAUUUCGAGGCUCAACCUCGAAACGCCACCCGAUACUGCUGUGGCUAGAGUCCGGUAGGGGAGCGUGGAAUUCCUGGUGUAGCGGUGAAAUGCGUAGAUAUCGGGAGGAACACCUGUGGCGAAGGCGGCCCCCUGGUUGGAUACUGACGCUGAUACGCGAAAGCGUGGGGAGCAAACAGG
rnacentral:rRNA from 1 species